UACAGAGGGUGCAAGCGUUGUUCGGAAUUAUUGGGCGUAAAGGGCGCGUAGGCGGUGCUGUAAGUCUGUGGUGAAAUCUCUGGGCUCAACUCAGAGUCUGCCAUAGAAACUGCAGUGCUGGAGUGUGGGAGAGGUGAGUGGAGUUCCCGGUGUAGCGGUGAAAUGCGUAGAUAUCGGGAGGAACACCUGUGGCGAAAGCGGCUCACUGGACCACAACUGACGCUGAGGCGCGAAAGCUAGGGGAGCAAACAGG
rnacentral:rRNA from 1 species